rnacentral:rRNA from 1 species
AGUUUGAUCCUGGCUCAGAUUGAACGCUGGCGGCAGGCCUAACACAUGCAAGUCGAACGGUAACAGGAAGAAGCUUGCUUCUUUGCUGACGAGUGGCGGACGGGUGAGUAAUGUCUGGGAAACUGCCUGAUGGAGGGGGAUAACUACUGGAAACGGUAGCUAAUACCGCAUAACGUCGCAAGACCAAAGAGGGGGACCUUCGGGCCUCUUGCCAUCGGAUGUGCCCAGAUGGGAUUAGCUAGUAGGUGGGGUAACGGCUCACCUAGGCGACGAUCCCUAGCUGGUCUGAGAGGAUGACCAGCCACACUGGAACUGAGACACGGUCCAGACUCCUACGGGAGGCAGCAGUGGGGAAUAUUGCACAAUGGGCGCAAGCCUGAUGCAGCCAUGCCGCGUGUAUGAAGAAGGCCUUCGGGUUGUAAAGACUUUUCAGCGGGGAGGAAGGGAGUAAAGUUAAUACCUUUGCUCAUUGACGUUACCCGCAGAAGAAGCACCGGCUAACUCCGUGCCAGCAGCCGCGGUAAUACGGAGGGUGCAAGCGUUAAUCGGAAUUACUGGGCGUAAAGCGCACGCAGGCGGUUUGUUAAGUCAGAUGUGAAAUCCCCGGGCUCAACCUGGGAACUGCAUCUGAUACUGGCAAGCUUGAGUCUCGUAGAGGGGGGUAGAAUUCCAGGUGUAGCGGUGAAAUGCGUAGAGAUCUGGAGGAAUACCGGUGGCGAAGGCGGCCCCCUGGACGAAGACUGACGCUCAGGUGCGAAAGCGUGGGGAGCAAACAGGAUUAGAUACCCUGGUAGUCCACGCCGUAAACGAUGUCGACUUGGAGGUUGUGCCCUUGAGGCGUGGCUUCCGGAGCUAACGCGUUAAGUCGACCGCCUGGGGAGUACGGCCGCAAGGUUAAAACUCAAAUGAAUUGACGGGGGCCCGCACAAGCGGUGGAGCAUGUGGUUUAAUUCGAUGCAACGCGAAGAACCUUACCUGGUCUUGACAUCCACGGAAGUUUUCAGAGAUGAGAAUGUGCCUUCGGGAACCAUGAGACAGGUGCUGCAUGACUGUCGUCAGCUCGUGUUGUGAAAUGUUGGGUUAAGUCCCGCAACGAGCGCAACCCUUAUCCUUUGUUGCCAGCGGUCCGGCCGGGAACUCAAAGGAGACUGCCAGUGAUAAACUGGAGGAAGGUGAGGAUGACGUCAAGUCAUCAUGGCCCUUACGACCAGGGCUACACACGUGCUACAAUGGCGCAUACAAAGAGAAGUGACCUCGCGAGAGCAAGCGGACCUCAUAAAGUGCGUCGUAGUCCGGAUUGGAGUCUGCAACUCGACUCCAUGAAGUCGGAAUCGCUAGUAAUCGUGGAUCAGAAUGCCACGGUGAAUACGUUCCCGGGCCUUGUACACACCGCCCGUCACACCAUGGGAGUGGGUUGCAAAAGAAGUAGGUAGCUUAACC